AUGAACGGAAAUGGUAUAAGCUUGGCCGUGUGGUUCAAUUUGUUGAGCUGGUGGUUCAUUUGGCCGGUAAUGCUACUUGUAGGAAAGGAAGGCUACUGGUCGCGCAGCAUGCGCCAGCAUCACUUGUUUAAGGUGCUCCUCCACUCUAAAUGCAAUAGAAGCAGCAGGAUCGCAAAAAGGAUGGGAUGGGAGGACCUAUGGGGUUCCACGUUCUACUCCUGGUCCAUCCGUGUUCCAGGAGCUAUCAUUGACAAGGUGUUGGAGCUAGUGUCCACAACGGAAGCUAACCAGAUUGACAUCACGGACUCACGGGGCCGAAAUGCCAUGAGGAGACGCAAUCUCUCAUUAGGGGAGGACCUGGCAUGGAGUGUGGGAUUGGAUCUGGAUGAAAGCAUCCUAGUGUGGCACAUCGCCACACAUUUCUACCUUGAGUGGUACUUUAAUAAUAUUCUUAGAGAAGAUUAUUCAGAGGUAAUAGAGUCAUUAGAGGCAAGACUAAGAAUUUGGGAACUUUAUAAGGCAACGGAGGCUCUCUGCAACUGCAACUACAUGUUUUUCAUGCUAGUCUCCCGUCCCUACAGCUGCCUUACCCUAUUACACGCCAGCGGUAUGUCCAGCUGUGCCAUGAUUCCAUCAUUCAUGUAA
rnacentral:rRNA from 1 species